CACAGCUGCCUGCCACUGCCAGUGUGCAUAAAGGUUGACAGAACAGACAAUAGCAGAACGGGAGAUAUCUACAAAUUGGCAUCAUGGCUAGUCAAAUGAAGAUGGUUAGGCAGUCAAUAAAUGCAAUUAUUGAAGUGAACCCAAACCUUUCCCCGACCAGUUUCAACUGAAAUUGUUCACCCUGAACUGUGCUAAUUAGCUAGCUAACGUUAGCUUAAUUCCUUGCUAGCAUGGCUAGCUCGUUACUAGCUAGUCAUGUUGGUGUUCUCAAUGUCAGUUUGGCUAGCUAGCUAAAUUGUACAGACUGCAUUUUGUCUAUAUCCAUGCUGUUACAAUAACCAAACAGUUGUACACAGAAAUAAUUGGUGAAACCACGAUGUCAUGCAGCAGCACAACAUGGGGGCCGGAUCGAGGAACAGGAAUGCAGACGCGCUGUCCCGACGCAACCAAGACGGUGCGUCUGGCGCCCGACCCUCCGGUUCGGUCCUGAGGGGGAAGGUAUGUGGAAGGACCACUGGAGGGCAGGCUGGGCUCACGGAUGGUAGCCCAACAAGGCAUGGGAGACAAGGUAACCAGAGGCAAUUAAGCACAGCUGACACUACUAAUGAGAUAUUCUCCUUCCCCUAUAAGAGAGAGUAUGGAACCAGCAGAGAGGGGGGAAGAACUAUCUCUGGAAGAUGGCCACCGAGACAGAGGAGCUAUCUAUGAAGAACCAUUAAGACGGUGACAAUCCCGUGACUUGUGUUGUAGUUUAAAGACAAUUGUAUUGUGUUCCUGUUUGAUCUGGAGAAGAAGAUUUUCAUUGAUUAUGUUGGAGUGUUUGUGUUGACCAAAUGCCCUCAAUAUAGAACUGUGUUCAAUCAAGAAAACCUACUCCUGACUCGUUUGUUCCACCUUCCCGCUUUAGAGUGACGCCCAAUUAGUUGGUCCGCUCACAUAUUAGACUUAAAACGAAUCAUCCAGCGAUCAUACACUGUUUACCAGGUGGCAGGACUACCGACGUUAAGGCUAAUCUGAAGAUGGUGCUGGCUAAGGCUAAAACUGGCAGGUGUAGAGAGUACCAACAAUGUUAGAAUGAAACAGUCAGAGGUCACCAAGCACAACAUAGCUUCAGUGUGUAAAUCAGCGAGAAAGAUGUGUCAGCAUCGAGUAAUUGUCUCUGGCCCCUUCCCAGUUAGGGGGAGUGAUGAGCUCUACAGCAUAGUCUCACAACUCAAUCGCUGGUUGAAAACUGUUUUCUGCCCCUCCAAAAAUAUAGAAUUUGUAGAUAAAUGUCCCUCUUUCUGGGACUCACCCACAAACAGCACCAAGCCUGGCCUGCUGAGGAGUGACGCACUCCAUCCUAGCUGGAGAGGUGCUCUCAUCUUAUCUAUGAACAUAGACAGGGCUCUAACUCCCCUAGCUCCACAAUGAGAUAGGCUGGCUAACAGCCUGCUGCCUGGCCUGCACUCUGUCAGCUUAGUGGAGUCUGCCACUAGCACAGUCAGUAUAGUCAGCUCAGCUAUCUUCAUUGAAACCGUGUCUGUGCCUCGUUCUAGGUUGGGCAAAACUAAACAUGGCGGUGUUCACCUUAGCAAUCUCACUGGAAUAAAGACCUCCUCCAUUCCUGUCAUUAUUGGAAGAGAUUGUGAUAUCUCACAUCUCAAAAUAGGGUUACUUAAUGUUAGAUCCCUCACAUCCAAGGCAGUUAUAGUCAAUGAACUAAUCACUGAUCAUAAUCUUGAUGUGAUUGGCUUGACUGAAACAUGGCUUAAGCCUGAUGAAUUUACUGUGUUAAAUGAGACCUCUCCUCCGCGCAUCCCACAAAAGCGGAGGUGUUGCUGACAUUAACGAUAUCAAAUUUCAAAUUACACAAUAAAAAACGACUGCGUUUUUGUCUUUUGAGCUUCUAGUCAUGAAAUCUAUGCAGCCGACUCAAUCCCUUUUUAUAACUACUGUUUACAGGCCUCUCGGAUCUUGUAGUCAUGGCAGAUAAUAUUCACAUUUUUGGUGACUUUAAUAUUCACAUGGAAAAGUCCACAGACCCACUCCAAAAGGCUUCGGAGUCAUCACCGACUCAGUGGGUUUUGUCCAACAUGUCUCCGGACCUACUCACUGCCACAGUCAUACUCUGGACCUAGUUUUGUCCCGUGGAAUAAAUGUUGUGGAUCUUAAUGUUUUUCCUCAUAAUCCUGGACUAUCGGACCACCAUUUUAUUACGUUUGCAAUCGCAACAAAUAAUCUGUUCAGACCCCAACCAAGGAUCAUCAAAAGCCGUGCUAUAAAUUAUCGGACAACCCAAGGACGUCAUAGUGCAAAAUUCCGUUAACCACCUAACUGAGGAACUCAAUUUAAACUUGCGUAAUACCCUAGAUGCUAUCGCACCCUUAAAACCCCAAAACAUUUGUCAUAAGAAACUAGCUCCCUGGUAUACAGAAAAUACCUGAGCCCUGAAGAAAGCUUCCAGAAAAUUGGAACGGAAAUUGCGCUACACCAAACUGGAAGUCUUCCGACUAGCAUGGAAAGACAGUACCAUGCAGUAUCGAAGAGCCCUCACUGCUGCUCAAUCAUCCUAUUUUUCCAACUUAAUUGAGGAAAAUAAGAACAAUCAAACAUUUAUUUUUGAUACUGUCGCAAAGUUAACUGAAAAGCAACAUUCCCCAAGAGAGGAUGGCUUUCACUUCAGCAGCGAUAAAUUCAUGAACGUCUUUGACGAAAAGAUCAUGAUCAUUAGAAAGAAAAUUUCGGACUCAUCUUUAAAUCUGCCUAUUUCUCCAAAGCCCAGUUGUCCUGAGUCUGCACAACACUGCCAGGACCUAGGAUCAAGGGAGACACUCAAGUUUUUUAAUACUGUAUCUCGACACAUUGAUGAAAAUAGUCAUGGCCUCUAAACCUUCAAGCUACUUCCUGUUCUUGACCCUCCUAUGUUGAACAUAAUAAACAUCUUCCAAUCCACCGGAUGUGUACCAAACUCACUAAAAGUGGCAGUAAUAAAGCCUCUCUUGAAAAAGCAAAACCUUGACCCAGAAAAUAUAAUAACUAUCGGCCUAUAUCGAAUCUCCCAUUCCUCUCAAAACUUUUUGAAAAAGCUGUUGCGCAGCAACUCACUGCCUUCCUGAAGACAAACAAUGUAUACAAAACGCUUCCGUCUGGUUUUAGGCCCCAUCAUAGCACUGAGACUGCACUUGUGAAGGUGGUAAAUGACCUUUGAAUGGCGUCAGACCGAGGCUCUGCAUCUGUCCUAGUGCUCCUAGAUCUUAGUUCUGCUUUUGAUUUUACUGCUAACCUACAAAGCAUUACAUGGGCUUGCUCUUAUCUAUCUUUCCAAUUUGGUCCUGCCGUACAUACCUACACGUACACGUACGGUCACAAGACGCAGGCCUCCUUACUGUCCCUAGAAUUUCUAAGCAAACAGCUGGAGGCAGGGCUUUCUCUUAUAGAGCUCCAUUUUUAUGGAAUGGUCUGCCUAUCUAUGAGAGUGACGCAGACUCUCAACCUUUAAGUCUUUAUUGAAGUCUCAUCUCUUCAGUAGGUCCUAUGAUUGAGUGUAGUCUGGCCCAGGAGUGUGAAGGUGAACGGAAAGGCACUGGAGCAACGAAGCGCCCUUGCUGUCUCUGCCUGGCCGGUUCCCCUCUCUCCACUGGGAUUCUCUGCAUCAAUAUCUACUACGGCGGUUGAAUCCCUGGCUUACUGGUGCUCUUCCAUGCCGUUCCUAGGAGGGAUGCGUCACUUGAGUGGGUUGAGUCACUGACAUGUUCUUCCUGUCCGGGUUGGCGCCCCCCCUUGGGUUGUGCCGUGGCGGAGAUCUUUGUGGGCAAUACUCGGCCUUGUCUCAGGAUGGUAAGUUGGUGGUUGAAGAUAUGGUGUGGUGUGGGGGCUGUGCUUUGGAAAAGGGGUGGGGUUAUAUCCUGCUAGUUUGGCCCUGUCCGGGGGUAUCGUCAGACGGGGCCACAGUGUCUCCCGACCCCUCCUGUCUCAGCCUCCAAUAUUUAUUCUGCAGUAGUUUAUGUGUCCUGGGGCUGGGGUCAGUCUGUUAUAUCUGGAGUAUUUCUCCUGUCUUAUCUGGUGUCCUGUGUGAAUUUAAGUAUGCUCUCUCUAAUUCUCUUUCUCUCUCUUUCUCUCUCUUUCUCUCAGAGGACCUAAGCCCUUGGACCAUGCCUCAGGACUACCUGGCCUGAUGACUCCUUGCUGUCCCCAGUCAAAUCAAAUCAAAUUUUAUUUGUCACAUACACACGGUUAGCAGAUGUUAAUGUGAGUGUAGCGAAAUGCUAGUGCUUCUAGUUCCGACCAUGCAGUAAUAUCUAACAAGUAAUCUAACAAUUUCACAACAACUACCGUAUACACACAAGGGUAAAGGAAUGAAUAAGAAUAUGUAUAUAAACAUAUAUGGAUGAGCGAUGGCCUAACGGCAUAGGCAAGAUGCAGUAGAUGGUGCAGUAGAUGAGUACAGUAUAUACAUAUAAGAUGAGUAAUGUAGGGUAUGUAAACAUUAUAUAAAGUGGCUAUAUAAAGUGGCAUUGUUUAAAGUGGCUAGUGAUUUGAGUCAGUAUGUUGGCAGCAGCCACUCAAUGUUAGUGUUGGCUGUUUAACAAUCUGAUUGCCUUGAGAUAGAAGCUGUUUUUCAGUCUCUCGGUCCCAGCUUUGAAGCACUUUUCAGUCCACCUGCUUGUGCUGCUGCUCCAGUUUCAACUGUUCUGCCUGCGGCUAUGGAACCCUGACCUGUUCACCGGACGUGCUACCUUGUCCCAGAUCUGCUGUUUUCAACUCUCUAGAGACAGCAGGUGCGGUAAAGAUACGCUGAAUGAUCGGCUAUGAAAAGGCAACUUACAUUGACUUCUGAGGUGCUAACCUGUGAUUAUUAUUAUCUGACCCUGCUGGUCAUCUAUGGACAUUUGAACACCUUGACCAUGUUCUGUUAUCACCUCCACCCGGCACAGCCAGAAGAGGACUGGCCACCCCUCAUAGCCUGGUUCCUCUCUCGGUUUCUUCCUAGGUUCCGACCUUUCUAGGGAGUUUUUCCUAGCCACCGUGCAUCUAUACCUACAUUGCUUGCUGUUUGGGGUUUUAGGCUGGGUUUCUGUACAGCACAUUGUGACCAGAUGAUGUAAGAAGGGCUUAAAAAUACAUUUGAUUGAAAUUUGAUUGAUAGCGAUUCCUUGUGACGGGCCAGGUGCCUGAAGGCUGAAAGUCGGUUGAACAGUGUUUAAUCCGACACAUUGGUGCGGAUGGCUUCUGGGUUAAGCUGGUGGGUGUUAAGGAGCACGGUUAGGCGGGUCAUGUUUUGGAGGAAUCGUGACUCCACCUUCCCUCUUCCGAGCCCGUUGGAUAGUUGCAGCGAUGAGACAAAAUCGAAAUUGGGGAGAAAAAGGGGGAUAAUUUUUGUUAUUUAUAAUAAUAAAUAAACAGCCUCCAAAGUUAGUGAUGAUGUAUCUGUAAUAAGAAUGUCAACAGUUAACCGUGCCUUAAAGAAAUGUGGUCUGUAGGUUCAUUUGUAUAAUUGGAAUUAAAUGAGUCCGUGCUUAUUUUUGUUA